rnacentral:piRNA from 1 species
UCUACAGACAGCAACCUUGCCUCUGCAGAGAC